rnacentral:rRNA from 1 species
UACGGGGGGGGCAAGCGUUGUUCGGAAUUACUGGGCGUAAAGGGCUCGUAGGCGGCCAACUAAGUCAGACGUGAAAUCCCUCGGCUUAACCGGGGAACUGCAUCUGAUACUGGAUGGCUUGAGAUUGGGAGAGGGAUGCGGAAUUCCAGGUGUAGCGGUGAAAUGCGUAGAUAUCUGGAGGAACACCGGUGGCGAAGGCGGCAUCCUGGACCAACACUGACGCUGAGGAGCGAAAGCCAGGAGAGCAAACGGG